AAUCAACGCUGGCGGCGUGCCUAACACAUGCAAGUCGAACGCGAAAACCCCGCAAGGGGUUAGUAGAGUGGCAAACGGGUGAGUAACACGUGGGUGACCUGCCUUAGAGUGGGGGAUAACGUCCCGAAAGGGACGCUAAUACCGGCAUAACAUCCUGCCUUUGAAGAGGUGGAGAUCAAAGCUGGGGACCGCAAGGCCUAGCGCUCAAAGAGGGGCCCGCGCCUGAUUAGCUAGUUGGGGGGUAAUGGCUCACCAAGGCAACGAUCAGUAUCCGGCCUGAGAGGGGCGGACGGACACACUGGGACUGAGACACGGCCCAGACUCCUACGGGAGCAGCAGUGGGGAAUUGUUCGCAAUGGGCGCAAGCCUGACGAC
rnacentral:rRNA from 1 species